rnacentral:sRNA from 1 species
GCCAUGGAUGACUCCAGCGUCACGGAGCACCAGAAGGUGGAGCUGCUGCGGAAGGCCGUGCAGGCCCACCGAGGCUACACCGACCGGCUCUCCCACCCCAACAGGCCAUCUGCGGGGAGGCCUUUGAUCGACACCUGCUGGGCCUGAAGCUGCAGGCCAUCGAGGACCUGGUGAGCAUGCCCGACAUCUUCAUGGACACCUCCUACGCCAUCGCCAUGCACUUCCACCUCUCCACCAGCCAGGUCCCUGCCAAGACAGACUGCGUCAUGUUCUUCGGGCCCGUGGUCCCUGACGGCUACGGUGUCUGCUAUAACCCCAUGGAGGCCCACAUCAACUUCUCCCUGUCAGCCUACAACAGCUGCGCAGAGACCAACGCCGCCCGCCUGGCGCAUUACCUGG